rnacentral:rRNA from 1 species
GACAGAGGGUGCAAACGUUGUUCGGAAUCACUGGGCGUAAAGCGCACGUAGGCGGAUCUUUAAGUCAGGGGUGAAAUCCCAAGGCUCAACCUUGGAACUGCCUUUGAUACUGGGGAUCUCGAGUCCGGAAGAGGUUGGUGGAACUGCGAGUGUAGAGGUGAAAUUCGUAGAUAUUCGCAAGAACACCAGUGGCGAAGGCGGCCAACUGGUCCGGUACUGACGCUGAGGUGCGAAAGCGUGGGGAGCAAACAGG